CGAGGAUUUGGAGUUGUACAGUUAGAACAAACCGUAUGCAGUGACGGUGUUGUCUAUCCCAGAAGGUUUCCCAUGGAUGAUCUUUUCGCCUUCAAAAGCCCAUUUAUUUAGUAACUCAAGAUUGGUUUGGUGAUCUCAAAGGAGUAAUAACAAAGGAAAAGCUUUUGAAAAGUGAUCAGAAUAACAAAGGAAACAGACAAGAUGCACAACAAGAAACGAUCUUUAUCUAUACAUUUCCCAGAUUCAAACAACUGAUAAUUGAACACAACCAACUCUGCAAAUAAAAUAAUAUAAUAAGCCCUUUUGCUCCAAAA